UACGUAGGGUGCGAGCGUUUGUCCGGAAUUAUUGGGCGUAAAGAGCUCGUAGGUGGCUUGUCACGUCGGGUGUGAAAGCUUGGGGCUUAACUCCAGGUCUGCAUUCGAUACGGGCUGGCUAGAGGUAGGUAGGGGAGAACGGAAUUCCUGGUGUAGCGGUGAAAUGCGCAGAUAUCAGGAGGAACACCGGUGGCGAAGGCGGUUCUCUGGGCCUUACCUGACGCUGAGGAGCGAAAGCGUGGGGAGCGAACAGG
rnacentral:rRNA from 1 species